GACUCGUCACACUAUCAUUAACUGAAUCCAUAGGUUAAUGAGGCGAACCGGGGGAACUGAAACAUCUAAGUACCCCGAGGAAAAGAAAUCAACCGAGAUUCCCCCAGUAGCGGCGAGCGAACGGGGAGGAGCCCAGAGCCUGAAUCAGCAUGUGUGUUAGUGGAAGCGUCUGGAAAGGCGCGCGAUACAGGGUGACAGCCCCGUACACAAAAGCGCAUGUGCUGUGAGCUCGAUGAGUAGGGCGGGACACGUGGUAUCCUGUCUGAAUAUGGGGGGACCAUCCUCCAAGGCUAAAUACUCCUGACUGACCGAUAGUGAACCAGUACCGUGAGGGAAAGGCGAAAAGAACCCCGGCGAGGGGAGUGAAAAAGAACCUGAAACCGUGUACGUACAAGCAGUGGGAGCCCCACCACUAAGCCAGUGGUGAACUCCACAUACGCAUCCUUUGCUGAGGAUACGGUUAACGGAGCGAAAGCGACGUUCAACCUCAAAAGAAGCAGAGGGGGCUUAGUGGUGGGGUGACUGCGUACCUUUUGUAUAAUGGGUCAGCGACUUAUAUUCUGUAGCAAGGUUAACCGAAUAGGGGAGCCGGAGGGAAACCGAGUCUUAAUUGGGCGUUAAGUUGCAGGGUAUAGACCCGAAACCCGGUGAUCUAGCCAUGGGCAGGUUGAAGGUUGGGUAACACUAACUGGAGGACCGAACCGACUAAUGUUGAAAAAUUAGCGGAUGACCUGUGGCUGGGGGUGAAAGGCCAAUCAAACCGGGAGAUAGCUGGUUCUCCCCGAAAGCUAUUUAGGUAGCGCCUCGUGAAUUCAUCUCCGGGGGUAGAGCACUGUUUCGGCUAGGGGGCCAUCCCGGCUUACCAACCCGAUGCAAACUGCGAAUACCGGAGAAUGUUAUCACGGGAGACACACGGCGGGUGCUAACGUCCGUCGUGAAGAGGGAAACAACCCAGACCGCCAGCUAAGGUCCCAAAGUCAUGGUUAAGUGGGAAACGAUGUGGGAAGGCCCAGACAGCCAGGAUGUUGGCUUAGAAGCAGCCAUCAUUUAAAGAAAGCGUAAUAGCUCACUGGUCGAGUCGGCCUGCGCGGAAGAUGUAACGGGGCUAAACCAUG
rnacentral:rRNA from 1 species